GAUGAACGCUGGCGGCGUGCUUAACACAUGCAAGUCGAACGGUGAAGCAGAGCUUGCUCUGUGGAUCAGUGGCGAACGGGUGAGUAACACGUGAGCAACCUGCCCCUGACUCUGGGAUAAGCGCUGGAAACGGCGUCUAAUACUGGAUAUGAGCUGCGACCGCAUGGUCAGCAGUUGGAAAGAUUUUUCGGUCUGGGAUGGGCUCACGGCCUGUCAGCUUGUUGGUGUGGUAAUGGCUCACCAAGGCGUCGACGGGUAGCCGGCCUGAGAGGGUGACCGGCCACACUGGGACUGAGACACGGCCCAGACUCCUACGGGAGGCAGCGGUGGGGAAUGUUGCACAAUGGGCGAAAGCCUGAUGCAGCAACGCCGCGUGGGGGAUGACGGCCUUCGGGUUGUAAACCUCUGUUAGCAGGGAAGAAGCGAAAGUGACGGUACCUGCAGAAAAAGCGCCGGCUAACUACGUG
rnacentral:rRNA from 1 species